CGAGGAGGUGGGGACUCAUUGAAGAGAUGUUGAGGGGAUCUUUUUAGUCCUGCGGCAUUGCUGGCGGACGGAGACUCCUAGGGUAUUUUUACGAAUCCAAUGUUACUGAUGAAGAAACCGGCACUUGCAGAUUCCUCCCUGCGGUUUCCAAG